rnacentral:lncRNA from 1 species
UAUUUCUUUAGCUAAAUGGUUAACCACAACCACCUGACGCCCAACACUCCUAGUAUGUGUGUGGAGGAAGCCCUCUCCUGCGCUGCUCAUACCUGACUAGCUACCUACUGCAACAUUUCCCUCCUAAAGAGUCCAAGACCCCAAAUAUUUGGGGGAAAAUGGCUGAAGAAUGAACACAUCAGAAAGGAAAGAAGAAAUAAAUGAGGUGAUGGAAAUAAUGAAGACCUGAACAGGAAUUAUGAUGUAAUCCAGAGAUUUACAACAGCAAGUAGUUACUGCCAUUCUUAAAGACAUAGGAGUCAUCUCUAAAAAAUGAAGUCCCAGCUUUUCUCCAGUGAUGCUAACUGAAAUCUGAAGAAAGGAGACUUGAUAGGAAGCCUCAAUAUCCUUGAAAGAAGAAUACAUGGAGAGGCCCCGAGACUACACUGAGGGAAGAUAGUCCCAUCCAGUCCUGACCAUCUACUUCUAGCCAUCAAAAUAUAGAAGUUACUUUGUUUUUGACCCUCCAUACCAAAACAGGCACCACAUGAAUACCACUGAGUGAACCUAACUUUUGCCACCUGGUAUAGAACUGUCCAGCGGAGCUCUGCUCAAUUUUCUGACACAUACAGUUAUGAAAUAUAUUAAAUGACUGCUAUUUUAAUUCAAAAAGUUUGUGAGUAUUUGGUUCUGCAGCAAUUAGUAACCAAAACAUUAACAAAGCAAAAUUCUUUUGAUAACUUUUACAAUCCACAUUCAAACUAAAAAAUUAACGGGAAAAUUAAAUGAAUUGGCUUAGAUCUGCAACUCAAGCUGAUAUGGGUAAGUAGUUUAACCACAAUAUCCAAAUGAUCUCUUUGUUUAAUUAUUUAUCUUUAACAUUUAUUUAUAAUCUUACAUGAAACAGUUUCCAGCUAGUCAAUAUUAAUUAUGUUAACAUGUGAUAUGAUAGAAGAUGAAAACAUUGAUGUAUUAUAAUAAUUUUAUGCUAUAAUAAUAAAAGCUGGGUUUCUGUUUAAUAUGUA